UAAAAUGUCAAAACAAGCAUAUCUGAUGGCACUCUUUUUUUUCACAGCCAUGAGACAUACAGAAGCUGACAACUUGAACUUAUUUUGUAUUUUAUGAUGUCGCCAUCUACUGGCCACUGGUAUGGAGGUGAUGCGCUCACAGACAGAAGCAGAGCUGCAGAUGUUCAAACAGAAUGAGAAAGCCUAUCAGAGCGUGUGGAAGGCAGCGCUGUUCGGAAAGCCACUGGCUGAGCCAAUCAAGGAGCAAGUCAAGGAGCUCGUCCAGGGUGCCAAAUAGGCCCUCACACACACACACA